GCUAGUCGCCACUUUGGCAUUCAAUCUAAAGCCAUCCUUUUGUUUCAACUCCUCCACUGAUCUUCAGACUUUACUCGACAAAUAAUGGAUUUAUUUCUAGUAUCAAACAUGUUUUGUUCUGAUUAGUUUAUUUCAUAUUCAGGCCGAUAUCUGUCUGUUAGCAUUACGUCUUUCGAUGAUGAGAAUUUACACAGACCUGUUCUGAAUACCUGAUUGUACUUUAGUAUUUCUGAUGAGAGACUUGCAAUUUUAUAUUUAACCAAAACGUGUUUCGAAAUGCUGCGUUCGCAGAACACGUGUCCGCAACUAGCGAGGUCACAUGGCAAACACCGUUAUUUAAUGGCUGGCUUAGCUACCGGGGUUGUAACUAUCAUAAGUUACUUUAUAUAACUUUCUCCUUUCAGGAUGCCGACGACUCGAAUGUGCUGCUCUGCUAGUAUGCUUCCAGUCAGACCGGACCAUCCAUCAGUCGUUAUAAACCCUGUUGCCUGUUCAUAAAUGGACCUCCCUAACUUCCCCCCCCUGGUCAACAGAAAUGCAGGACAGAUGUCUGGAAGAAUGACACGUCUGCAUUACCUGUGACAUGACUUCCUGACUUCCAGGCAUCUGAACAGAAUCUCCACUUGGAGUUCCAUUCUGGAAUAGGAAUGUGGUGCUGAAUACCUGAUUCCAGACUCAUGAGACUGAUGCACUUUGUGAAAAUCCAGACGUGGGGAUGAAGUUUCCUGACGGGAUUAACACGACCUUCACUGGGUUUGGGUGUUGUGGUCAGUUGCAUUGCAGUGUGGACUCCAACAUACUGGUUCUUCUGUAUAUGGCUGAACAGGGAGCCGUGAUGCCAACUAGACUGGUCCUGAUGGUGGUACCAGACUAGUCACUAGAAGAUGCCGGAUACUGAACUACCUCAAGGUCCUGACUGUUGUACCAGACUGGCCACUAGCAGGAAGCUCUUUGAUCUGACAGUGAAUGAAGUUGAUGUCCUUGUGGGUCUGCAGUCUUCAGGAAGGUCCUGACUGUUCCAGCCUGGCCACUGGAGGACUGUUGCUGCACGACCUCAAGGUUUCUGCCCCUCUGGUUGAGGUCCUGGUGUCUGCAGGGUUUGGAAAGAUCUGGUUGGCUGCUGAAGUGUUGCUGUGCAGGUGGAGUGGGAAGAUAUUAUCAAUAAAUCCAUUCCAAUAAGGCAUGACAUAAGGUAUAGAUACAACAUCCUGCUGAAACAAGGACUCCUGGUCUACACCUGCAAGCCCUCUUGCACUCCUGAUUGGUCAGCAAGGGAGUGAGACGUCUCGUUGGAACUGGGGGAAACCAGGCCAAGUCAAUUCAACCCUGUGACUGUUUUGCUGUGUAAAUAAAUCUACAAAUUAAUUAUCGUC